AGAGUUUGAUUAUGGCUCAGGAUGAACGCUAGCGACAGGCUUAACACAUGCAAGUCGAGGGGCAGCGGGGAAGUAGCAAUACUUCCGCCGGCGACCGGCGCACGGGUGAGUAACACGUAUGGAACCUGCCCGUAGCAGGGGGAUAAGCGGAAGAAAUUCCGUCUAAUAUCGCGUAAUAACUCCGAGAGGCAUCUCCUGGGGUUUAAAGGGUAACACCGGCUACGGAUGGCCAUGCGGCGCAUUAGCUAGUUGGCGGGGUAACGGCCCACCAAGGCGACGAUGCGUAGGGGUUCUGAGAGGAAGGUCCCCCACACUGGUACUGAGACACGGACCAGACUCCUACGGGAGGCAGCAGUGAGGAAUAUUGGUCAAUGGGCGCGAGCCUGAACCAGCCAAGUCGCGUGAGGGAAGACGGUCCUAUGGAUUGUAAACCUCUUUUGUCGGGGAGCAAAAGACGCCACGUGUGGCGUUCCGAGAGUACCCGAAGAAAAAGCAUCGGCUAACUCCGUGCCAGCAGCCGCGGUAAUACGGAGGAUGCGAGCGUUAUCCGGAUUUAUUGGGUUUAAAGGGUGCGCAGGCGGAAGAUCAAGUCAGCGGUAAAAUUGAGAGGCUCAACCUCUUCGAGCCGUUGAAACUGGUUUUCUUGAGUGAGCGAGAAGUAUGCGGAAUGCGUG
rnacentral:rRNA from 1 species